GAAAUGCGAUACUUGGUGUGAAUUGCAGAAUCCCGUGAACCAUCGAGUCUUUGAACGCAAGUUGCGCCCGAAGCCGUCAGGCCGAGGGCACGUCUGCCUGGGCGUCACGC
rnacentral:rRNA from 1 species